rnacentral:rRNA from 1 species
CCUACGGGAGGCAGCAGUGGGGAAUAUUGGACAAUGGGGGGAACCCUGAUCCAGCGACGCCGCGUGAGUGAAGAAGUAUUUCGGUAUGUAAAGCUCUAUCAGCAGGGAAGAAAGAAAUGACGGUACCUGACUAAGAAGCCCCGGCUAACUACGUGCCAGCAGCCGCGGUAAUACGGAGGGGGCAAGCGUUAUCCGGAUUUAAUGGGUGUAAAGGGAGCGUAGACGGCGAUGCAAGUCUGAAGUGAAAGGCGGGGGCCCAACCCCCGGACUGCUUUGGAAACUGGAUGGCUGGAGUGCAGGAGAGGUAAGUGGAAUGCGUAGUGUAGCGGUGAAAUGCGUAGAUAUUAGGAGGAACACCAGUGGCGAAGGCGGCUUACUGGACUGUAACUGACGUUGAGGCUCGAAAGCGUGGGGGGCAAACAGGAUUAGAUACCCUGGUAGUC